ACUGAGGGAAGCUCAGGAAGCUCUGAAGAUACAGCAUGGCCAGCACAUCCUCACUCUCCACAAAGUGAAAGGAAAAGUGCAUUCCUGUGGAACAUGUAUUCUGCCUUCAGACUAGAACAGGAGGAAUGGUUUACUGUGUACACAGUAGGGUGAAACAGUGUAGACCAGAGCUAGCUCACAGACUAAAGUUUAAGGAGUCAUCUGCAGGAGUCACCAUUGGGAAGGAGGACCUGAUGGGGCAAAAAUGCAGUGACAUAUGAGGAUGUGCAUGUGAACUUUACUCGGGAAGAAUGGGCUUUGCUGGAUCCUUCCCAGAAGAGUCUCUACAAGGAUGUGAUGCUGGAGACCUACAGGACCCUCAGAGCUAUAGACUCUUAUUGGAAUGACCACAUUAAUGAAGAAAAUUCUCAAACUUCUAGAAGAAAUGGAAGGCAUCUUCAAACGGAAGACAGAACUCACACUGGAGAGAAAUCCUAUGAAAGUGUGCAAUGUAAUGAAGUGCUUUCGAGUCACAAUCAUCCUCAGAUAUACAAAGGAAUGCUUACUGAAGCCUUUGUACCUUAUACUGGUGUUCAAAUGCAUAGAAGAACACACACAGGGGAUAAACCUUGUGACUGUAACACACUUGGUAAAGCCUGUGCAUGCCACAGCCAUCUGCAAAGCCAUAAAAGAACACAUACUACAGAGAAGCCCUAUGAAUGUAACCAAUGUGGUAAAGCCUUUUCAUGUCACAGUUAUCUUCAGAUUCAUAAAAGAUCACAUACUGGAGAGAAGCCCUAUAAGUGUAACCAGUGUGUUAAAGCCUUUUCGAGUCCCAGUUAUCUUCAAAAUCAUAAAAGAACACAUACUGGAGAGAAGCCCUAUGAGUGUAAUCAAUGUGGUAAAGCCUUUUCAUGUCCCAGUAAUUUUCAAAAUCAUAAAAGAACACACACUAGAGAGAAGCCCUAUGAAUGUAACCAAUGUGGCAAAGCCUUUACUCGUCACGGCCAUCUUCAAAGUCAUGAAAGGACACAUACUGGAGAGAAGCCCUAUGAAUGUAACCAAUGUGGUAAAGCCUUUUCAUGGAACUAUUGUCUUCAAAUUCAUAAAAGAACACAUACUGGAGAGAAGCCCUAUGAAUGUAACCAAUGUGGCAAAGCCUUUACUCGUCACCACCAUCUUCAAAGGCAUGAAAGGACACAUACUGGAGAGAAACCCUUUGAAUGUAACCAAUGUGGUAAAACCUUUGCUUGUCACAGAGAUCUUCAGAGGCAUGAAAGAACACAUACUGGAGAGAAACCCUAUGAAUGUGACCAAUGUGGUAAAGCCUUUUCAUGGAAGAGUUGUCUUCGGAUUCAUAAAAAAACACAUACUGGAGCGAAGCCCUUUGAGUGUAGCCAAUGUGGUAAAGCCUUUGCUUGUCAUAGCCAUCUUCAAAGCCAUAAAAGAACACAUACUGGAGAGAAACUUUAUUCAGGUAACCACUGUGGCAAAGCAUUUUCAGAAAACACUAAUCUUCAAAAGCAUAAAAAAACCCUACACUGGAAAGACUCUCUAUGUAUGUAACCAUUGUGAUAAAGCCUUUGCUCAUCACAGCUAUCUUCCAAUCCAUCGAAAGACACAUAGAGGAAAUAAACACUAUGCAUGUACCCAAUGUCGUAAAGUGUUUUCACAUAACAGUAAUCUUCCAUGCCAUAAAAGAACACGUACUGAGUAGAAGCCCUACUUUUUCCUCUGAAAGCACGGGAUUGAAAUGGUCAAGGGACACACAUUUUGUCUUGUCUUCUGGGAGAACUUCAUAAUAGGGGUAAGCAUAUGUCAACUGGCACAGCUCAGAGUAUCAGUGAGACUGUUAUGAACUGAUGCCAAGCCCCCUGGGGACAACACUUAAGGGUUCACCUCUUAGGGAUCCCACUUCCCUUAGUUUUGGAUGGCUUGGCCGUCCUGACACCCAGGACUCUCCUUUGAGGUACUGUUCAUGGCUGUCUGUGGCUCUGGACUCUCUUCCUGGCCAGUCACUUCCUAGUGCAUCCUGGAUGCCAUGGGACACCCGGGCUAGUUGUUCUUCUGAAGGAGCAGAGGACAGAGCCACAGCCUUGCCUAGGGAGGCUGCUGGAGCUGAAAUUCUCCCCAUUGAUCCCUUCAGUGACUGAAGCACUUGAAGCCACUGUGAAGAGGUUGGCUUUGCUCUGACCAUGCUUCAUUUCUGAGGAUGCUGCCUCCAUGGCCCGGGACUUUCCAUGGCUAUCUGCUACAGGCUGGUCUGUCCAAGAAGGCACAACUGAUGGGCUCAGGUUCCUCUUCUGACUUCUUAAGGCCACAUGCUAGUUUGUCCUGGUCACCUCCUUGUGACUGCUUUACAAUGGCCAGGCAGACACCCAGGGUCCCUGUCCCAGCCCUCAUGCUUUGUGCCCUCUGAUGCAGUGAGUCAGGGUGAGGCCUGUCAGUCAAGGAUGGCCUUCAGUGGAUCUCAAUAUGAACCUGCAGGCCACGUUGAACAUCAUGGAAGCCAUGAUGUAGAGGUAGGGAAAGUUGAUGUGUGGCCGCCAAGCCAGGUCAAAGAAUGUGAGCAGCAUAUGUGUCAGCCGCUUGCAGAAGACCCCAUAGGAGCGGGCAGCAGCUGGACAGUCAGACUGGUGUGACAGAGCCGGGAUGCUCCCACUGCCUGGCCACCCUCCCUCCCUGUACCCCAUUGCCUAAGACCUCCUCCCCCAGGGCCAGUGCUCAGUGAUCUCAGGGAGCAAGGGAGACCAGCAGGAUGGCAGGCCACUUGGGAGCUGAGUCUGCACAUCAUUGUCCACAAGCUACCACCUGCAUUCCCAGCUGGGCUUCAGAGUCUAAAUGUAGAAAUUUUUAAUGAUGUCUUGAAAGUAUGAAUUAUAAAAGGGAAGGAACAGUAAAUAAAGAAACUAUGACAUUGA
rnacentral:lncRNA from 1 species